rnacentral:lncRNA from 1 species
CAGAACUCUGCAAGGAGGAACAUUCUAUCUCCCUGUCAUAAAGAGUCAUUAGCAACCACCUGGUGCAGGUCACAAGCAGGGAGAGGAAAGACUGCAGAGUCUUUCGUUCUUUCUGGUGCAGCUUAACUGAUUUGAAGAAGCCGAAGAAGAAAAUCCAGUAGCACGGUUAAGACUUUAGCCAUGGCAUCUGUAUCAUACCAAAAGCCAACAUCUACUACUGUGGGAAAACAAAUGAUUUUUACAGGGAUUUCCAGACUCUUUCAAAGUUCCAUUUACAAGCUAAGUAGCUAUCACCACCCUCUUUUCAUAAAACGGAAACAGAGCAAAGUAGGCAUGCUCAUCAUGUGGGCUGAAUAAAGAAGUUAAAAAAAUAAAAUGAUCUAUGAUUCCAGAUCAUACCAAGGAACUGACAUCGUAGAUUUCAUUUAUUUCCUUUUCGGAGGAUUCUAUAGUCACUUAGAACGCAAGAUCCACCACUGAACCAAACUCACCUUCCUG